rnacentral:rRNA from 1 species
AUGGCGGCUUCCCGUCUCCUCUUCUCGCUCUGCACCGCGCUGGCCGUGGCGGCGGCGGCGGCCACGGACACGCUGAAGCAGGGGGACUCGCUGACGGCGCCGGCGACGCUGGUGUCCUCGCCGUCGGGGGUGUUCGAGCUGGGCUUCCACGCGCCGGACCCCGCGCGCCCGGCCCGCCUCUACCUCUGCGUCUGGUACCGCGACACACAGCCCAGGACCGUGGCGUGGGUGGCCAACCGCGUGAACGCCGCCGCGGCGGCCGCGCCGUCGCUCACGCUCACGGCCGGCGGCGAGCUCCGCGUGCUCGACGGAGCCGCCAAGGACGGCGCGCGCAUGCUCUGGUCCUCCAACACCACCACGCGGGCCGCGCCGCGGGGCGGCUACGAGGCCGUCAUCCAGGACUCCGGCUCCCUCCAGGUGCGCGACGUCGACGGCACCGUCAUCUGGGACAGCUUCUGGCACCCAUCCGACACCAUGCUCUCCGGGAUGCGCAUCAGCGUCAACGCCGAGGUCAGGGCGCAGGUCAGGGGCCCGCCGGAGCGGAUGCUCUUCACCUCCUGGGCCAGCGACACGGACCCCUCGCCGGGCCGGUUCGCGCUCGGCCUCGACCCGGCCAACCCCAGCCAAGCCUUCAUCUGGAGAGACGGAAACGUUCCAUUCUGGAGGUCGGGCCAAUGGACUGGGCUAAAUUUUGUAGGAAUUCCAUAUAGGCCAUUGUACGUGUAUGGGUACAAACAAGGAAAUGAUCCAAUCCUGGGAAUGUACUUCACUUACACUGCAACAAAUACAUCUCUGCAGAGGUUUGUUGUUGCGCCAGAUGGCAGAGACGUCUGCUACAUGGUUAAGAAGUCUACACAGGAGUGGGAAACUGUGUGGGUGCAACCGUCAAAUGAGUGCGAGCGUUAUGGUGCAUGUGGUUCAAAUGCGAUAUGUACGGUGGUGCAAGAUGGGAAGGCAAAAUGUACCUGCAUGAAAGGUUUUAAGCCAAAGUUAGCAGAUGAGUGGAAUGCAGGAAAUCGGAGCCAGGGUUGUGUUAGAAACCCACCUUUGGACUGUCAGGUGAACAAAACUGGAGAUGGAUUUCUCUCUAUCCCGAAUGUCAAGUGGCCAGAUUUUUCAUACUGGGUAUCUGGUGUAACCGAUGAGUAUGGGUGCAUGAAUACCUGCCGGCAAAAUUGCUCAUGUGGUGCCUAUGUCUACAUGACUCAGUUGACGGGGUGUCUACAUUGGGGUAAUGAACUGAUGGAUGUUUACCAGUUUCAGGCUGGGGGUUAUGCCCUAAACCUCAAGCUUCCUGCUUCUGAGUUAGCAGGUUCACAUAUCGCAGUUUGGAAAAUAGCCGCAAUAGCAUCUGCCGUGGUGCUAUUUGUUUUGUUAGCUUGUCUCUUUUUAUGGUGGAAGCGUGGAAGAAAUAUCAAAGAUGCAGUGCACAGAAGUUGGAGGAGGUCAAGACGUUCAUCUACCAGAUCGCAGCAAAGUGCUGGCAUGCUGGAUAUCUCACAUUCGAUUCCUUUCGACGAUGAAACGGAGGACGGAAAAAAUCAUGAACUCAAAGUACUCUCCCUGGACCGCAUCAAAGCUGCUACUGGUAGUUUCAGUGAAUCCAACAAGCUUGGGGAAGGUGGAUUUGGCCCGGUUUAUAUGGGAACAUUACCUGGUGGAGAAGAAGUAGCUGUGAAGAGGCUUUGUAAGAACUCAGGUCAAGGCCAUGAGGAGUUCAAGAAUGAGGUCAUACUGAUUGCAAAGUUGCAGCACCGGAAUCUUGUCAGACUAUUAGCCUGCUGUAUACAGGGAGAAGAGAAGAUCUUGGUUUAUGAGUACAUGCCUAACAAGAGCCUCGACGCAUUUAUCUUUAAUCCUGAAAAGCGAGGUCUCCUAGACUGGAGGACAAGGUUUGAUAUCAUCGAAGGUAUUGCUCGAGGACUGCUAUAUCUCCACCGGGACUCAAGGCUACGUAUUGUUCAUCGUGAUCUCAAGGCCAGCAACAUUCUCCUAGACACAGACAUGAACCCCAAAAUAUCAGAUUUCGGAAUGGCAAGGAUUUUUGGAGGGGAUGAAAACCAGUUCAACACGAACCGUGUGGUCGGAACAUUCGGCUACAUGUCCCCUGAGUAUGCCAUGGAAGGCAUUUUCUCGGUCAAGUCCGAUGUCUAUAGCUUCGGAGUUCUGAUCUUGGAGAUCAUUACAGGGAAGAGGGCUGUCAGCUUUCAUGGCCAGCAGGAGUCCCUAAACAUCGCGGGAUAUGCAUGGCAACAAUGGAACGAAGACAAGGGCGAGGACAUGAUCGACCCGUUGAUAAAACCGUCGUGCUCGAUUCGACAGGUCCUGAGGUGCAUCCACAUUGCAUUGCUAUGCGUGCAAGAUCAUGCCCAAGAGCGUCCGGACGUGCCCGCGGUCAUCCUGAUGUUGAGCAGUGACAGCUCCAGCCUUCCCAUGCCGAGGGCGCCCACCCUGAUGCUCCGUGGCCGUGCUCUUGAGUCGAGCAAAUCAAGCGAGAACGAGAGGAGCCACUCCAUUGGUACCGUAUCAAUGACACAGUUGCAUGGAAGAUAG